rnacentral:lncRNA from 12 species
CUUUUCCCAGCCUCUCCCAGGUCCCAAGGUUUGAGUGAAGCCUGUGCUCCGGAUGCCUCUGGUUUGUACAGACAAUUGCUUAACUGCCAUUUAAGAGAAUUGAUGCAACCGACCUUUAAACACACGUUGGUUACCCUGACAUCUGAAAAGAGAAAAUAGACUUCCUUCCGUGAGUGGGAAAUUCUUCUCACAACAAUUACUCCAAGAAGGGAGCACAGGCAGGUGGGCCUCAGCCACAGGCCCCAGGAACCUGACGGGUUCUGCGGAUUGUCUUACUCUGGAGGCUGGUCAGAGUUUUGGGGUAAUUCCCAAGAGUCCUUAGGGCUCGCCGGCCUUGAGUCAAAAUUCCUUUCCAGAAGAGAAAGGGACCAGAGAUCCCUAAAUGAUUUGCCCUUUUAUAGGUUUUUGAGUCAUCCCCAGGCAUCAGCUCCUGCCCUCUGGAGGCAGGUAGCAUCUGCUCCCCUCUUCCCUGGGCUGGGUGAUGGCAGGAGUAUUUUCUCAUUGACAGUGUUGGAAUUAAUUAAUUAUGGAUUUUUGGUUCUCAACAGGUCACGCUCCCCUGGGGUUCAUACCCAUGAAGACCCUUCUCAACCCCCCACUCUAGCCCAUGUUUGCCGGCCUCCAUGGGUCAACUAGACCAAACAGGGUCAGACCACGCUGCUGUUCCAUUUCCGAGGAAAUUCUCUGUGUGCAUCAUCACAUGCCCAGUAAUUCUGAUGACUCAGGUCUCAGGUCAAAUGUCACCUUCCCAGGGGGCCCCUCCCAGCAACCUUCCCUAAGGUGACCUGGUUCUCUUUCCCAGGCUCUCUGUGGCAUGCCACCCUGCUUUAUAUUCUAAGUGCUUAUUUCUUUAACCCAGGCCACCAUACUGACAGAGUCCUGGCACUCUGAGCUCUGUGGGUCUUGACCAGAGCCCUGUGCAUGGAGCAGCGGAGGGCUCAUGGCAGACUCACAAAGAAGAUGUUCUUAUGACACACCAAGGAAUGACACGGAGGCCAGCAACAGGGUCUGGAGUGUCCCAGAGCCCCUCUUCUCUCCUCCACAGCCUUUUCCCUGCCUUAGUCCUAAUCCCCAAAUUGUCCUUCUUCUUCCUCCUCCCUCUUGUUGUCAGAGUGGAAAGCACGAAGCCCUUAGAGCCACCCCUCCUGGGUGUAACCCCACUGCUGCUUUCUGGCUGUGAGCUUUUCUGUCAGCUAUGCAACACUGGAAACAUACGGACAAGAAUGGGACUAUCUGGAGGAUUAAAUGACAUAACUCUAUGGGUGAAUGGAGCACUGGCACCACCGCCAGCUUGGGGCAGCUCCCAAAGCCACGGGCCUUGCUCGGUGCCCAGAAAGAGCCCUGCCUGGAGACAGUCUGUGCCAGCGCCUCGCUGCCAUGCCAGCGCCUCACCCUACUUCGUCUGAACCCGGAAACGCGUCGCCUGCCAGCACCCCCCAAUUCCCAGCUGUGUCAUUCUCUCCUUCACCUGCUCCCAUUUCCACAGAAGCAUAGGUCACAGUCCUGAGGCACCUGAUCUAUUUUUCAUUCUCCCUUUCUCUAGGCAGAAUGAUGGAUUGACUCUGGAAAACCCAUUAGGGAAGGGCUGGGCCAUCCUGCAUUUCCGUGAGGCCUGUCCAGGUGACUUUGAGUCAAGCCGCUGAGAGCCAUUUGGCUGCGGGAUCAUCUCUGUGGGGUACCAUGUUUACUUGGGCCACUGACCCUGGUCUUAGAGGAAAAGAUGAAGGAUUAGUGACACUUGGUGCCCAAAUCCCUUCCACUCAUCCGUCCCUGCUGAGGACUUUUUGAAGCCUCUUUAUAUUAUAGUCUGUUGAGAAGCACCCAGUACCCUGAUGAACUAACCCUGCACUCUAGGUAGGGUCCUUCCUUACCUGUCUGCCAGGCCAGCCUAUAGGCACAGGUCUCCAAACUUCCCAGUGAGUUCCCAAGUUGCUGAGAAGCCAAGAAAGAGGAGGCCAGAAUGAUGGCUCUGAUUGUGCACAGUGCUGGGCUUUCCCCACAGGGGACAUUAUCCACAGGGAAGGGGUUUUUGUUUUGACCCCACAGUGGUCAGUGAUUAUGUUUGCAGGCUGACGAGGUUUGCUUUCAACUCUUCAGAGGCUUCAGAGAAGGCUCCAGAUUUACUAGGAUGGGAGAUGAAUUUUUCAGCUUCCUUAAUAAGUAUUGGACCAUCACAUUCACUCACCCCAGUCUUACAUGGCAGAGUAAUUACUUCCCCCUCAAUGUCUCACUCUUCUGACACCCUACAGCUAUGGUUAUCAACGGCUUACUUAUUUUCAGUGACUCAGUCAAAAACUCCAAUUCCCCAUGAACCAUCUAGCCUCCUACAGUUUCUUGCAAUGUCUCCUUUAUUUUCUAGUUCCUUAUGUCAUCCUUCAAGUGAUUGUUAUCAUAAUUAUCACUUAACUCUUGGACUUUUAAUCUCUCCAUCUGCUCUACUGAAUGUCUAGCUCUCUUUGCAAGACACCAUGUCCUGCAUGUCUUUCCAUCCCCUAAACUGGCUACAAAAAAAGCUGGCCACAUCCCAAACUAUUAUUAAAUAUUUCCUGGCGAUGCCAAGACAGAAAUAUUGGCUUGCUUGGUACAAUUCUUCAGGUAAAAUAAUACACUGACUUUCCACUUCAAAUCAAGUUUAUUAGCCUCAGUUAGGGGGUGGGUCAAAUUAGGUGUUAAACACUGCUGAGUGAAUGACCCAGAGCUAGAAAGAUACCCAGAUGCUAACUGGGAAAAUCUUGACCAAGCCAAACAGGUGCUUCCAGGACCUUCUUUGUGGUAACAAUGUCAGUCCCAUGGACUGGUGCAUUCCUUUCAGAGUGGUGCUGACACGCCAAAGAAAUUAAUGGUCCUAUCUCAACUGACUCAUUUGCUGGGAACAACAGGUUCAUAUGACAAUUCUUAGGUUGACCCACAUUGUGCGUUCAACAACAACAAAAAAAUUAUUAUACCAUGUGUUCAAACUAAAGAGCAUUAAAAUUUAUAAUUUUUCAUUUUUUUGGCAUCAUACUUUGACCUACGCCUGAUUUUUACUAUAAUAUGUUUAUAAUUUUAAAGAUGACUAUGAAGUGUAAUGUUAGAAAAAAUGAGAAAGACAUUUUAGAAUGCAUCAAAAUGUGAAUAUGGUCGUAUACUAUCCAACCCCCUCAGCCUCAGCUAUAAACAAAUUGCCUUUUUAUCUCUAAAAUACUUUAUUUUGUGCUCAAAGCGAACUAUUAAAUUCUGUUAAUUAUAUCAGAAUUUAGAUAGCAUUUCAGGGUCUCAGUUUCCUUAUCAACAGAAUACAGAGUUGGACUAGACAUUAUAUGAAGAUCACCUCCAAUCCCACCAUGUUUUCAUGAAAGGCUCCCACUGAUACUUCAUAAUCUCCAAUUUACUGCUCUUUGGCAAAGCUUGGAAAAGAAAACUCCGUGUAAGGAUUUCUUUGGGGCUAGGGCCUAUAUUACAAGGGGAAAAACAAACAGAGAUGAGGUGUCAUCAAGUCAAUUCUGUUGGCACUAGCAACCAUUGAAGAAGUAGGGAAGGGAGAUAGAAAGGAGAAUAAACUUGUGUUCCAUGUCA